UUGCUAUAAUUGUCAGCUAAGUGGCGUACGGGUGAGUAAUGUAUAGAUAACCUGCCCUUAAGAAAGGAAUAACAGUUGGAAACGACUGCUAAUGCCCUAUAUGCCUUUAAUACAUAAGUAUGCAAGGGAAACGCUUUAGUGCUUAAGGAUGGGUCUGUAUGGUAUCAGCUUGUUGGUGAGGUAAUGGCUCACCAAGGCUAUGACGCCUAACUGGUUUGAGAGGAUGAUCAGUCACACUGGAACUGAGACACGGUCCAGACUCCUACGGGAGGCAGCAGUGGGGAAUAUUGCACAAUGGACGAAAGUCUGAUGCAGCAACGCCGCGUGGAGGAUGACACAUUUCGGUGCGUAAACUCCUUUUAUAUAGGAAGAUAAUGACGGUACUAUAUGAAUAAGCACCGGCUAACUCCGUGCCAGCAGCCGCGGUAAUACGGAGGGUGCAAGCGUUACUCGGAAUCACUGGGCGUAAAGAGCGUGUAGGCGGGUAUAUAAGUCAGAAGUGAAAUCCAAUAGCUCAACUAUUGAACUGCUUUUGAAACUGUAUACCUAGAAUGUGGGAGAGGUAGAUGGAAUUUCUGGUGUAGGGGUAAAAUCCGUAGAGAUCAGAAGGAAUACCGAUUGCGAAGGCGAUCUACUGGAACAUUAUUGACGCUGAGACGCGAAAGCGUGGGGAGCAAACAGGAUUAGAUACCCUGGUGGUCCACGCCCUAAACGAUGUACACUAGUUGUUGUGAGGCUCGACCUUGCAGUAAUGCAGUUAACACAUUAAGUGUACCGCCUGGGGAGUACGGUCGCAAGAUU
rnacentral:rRNA from 1 species